GUCUACAGCCAUACCACCCUGAACGUGCCUGAUGUCAUUUGAUUUCGGAAGCUGAGCAGGGUCAGGCCUGGUUAGUACUUGGUUGGGAGACCACCUGGAAAUACUGGGUGCUGUAGGCU
ensembl:rRNA 5S_rRNA 5S ribosomal RNA